rnacentral:rRNA from 1 species
UACGAAGGGUGCAAACGUUGCUCGGAAUUAUUGGGCGUAAAGGGUGCGUAGGCGGUUCCGCAAGUCCUGUGUGAAAUCUUCGGGCUCAACUCGAAGUCUGCACGGGAAACUGCGGGGCUUGAGUGUGGGAGAGGUGAGUGGAAUUCCCGGUGUAGCGGUGAAAUGCGCAGAUAUCAGGAGGAACACCGGUGGCGAAGGCGGGUCUCUGGGCAAUAACUGACGCUGAGGAGCGAAAGCGUGGGGAGCGAACAGG